ACCACUUGACAAACCCUUCAUCACUACUCAUCCAAAACGGAUGUCCAGGUACACUGCCUGAAAAUCUGCCUAGUUGGAGGAUUUUGCCUCAACUCUGCCUCUCAGGAUCACUUCUGAAUAAGACUGUAUUUAGCAGCAAUUUUUGGUGUUUACUAACAUAUUGAGACAACAUCACUAUGAACCAUUACAUUGGAACCACUGUGAGAUAGAUAGAUGAGUCCACUGAGGCACAGAGAAGUUGAGUAACUUGUUGAAGAACCACAAUCCUACCCAAAUCAAUGAAGAAGGAUAUUGAGGAUAUUGAGAUACCUGGUGAAAGAAUGAGACCAUGCUGGAUUCUAGGAUUGAAUAUCUCCAAAACUCAUUCUCUGCAUGACUUCUUCUGCAAUAUUCUGAAUGUUGAACAAGGAGAGGAGAUUGUGGAAAAGUACUGAACUCUGUGGGGAACUGGAGGAAGAUAAGAAUUAUUUUAACAAGAUUUCGCUUUCUCAGGACUGAAAAGCCUGCCAGGAGGCAAGAGAGGAGACAACGAGAUAAAAGUCUGGUCACUUCUUCCCAAGGAUGGCUUCACAAAGGUGGUGGCUGAAGCCCCCUUCAGGCCAGUUCAGGAGCUACUUCACUCUGCUUUACUCAUAAAUAAUUUCAACUCCCUGAAGCUCCUUAAAGUAAAGGGACAAAGACAGCCAACGCCCUUAAUAGAGCCAGCUGUGUGGUCAACGACACUAUAUCAAAUGCAAGUUGAUCCUGAGAAAUCGUCUGUGGGUAGCUCUUUCUCCCCAUCUCCUCAAUUAAAAAAUUGCUACUGC
rnacentral:lncRNA from 1 species